rnacentral:rRNA from 2 species
UACGGAGGGUGCAAGCGUUAAUCGGAAUUACUGGGCGUAAAGCGCACGCAGGCGGUUUGUUAAGUCAGAUGUGAAAUCCCCGGGCUCAACCUGGGAACUGCAUCUGAUACUGGCAAGCUUGAGUCUCGUAGAGGGGGGUAGAAUUCCAGGUGUAGCGGUGAAAUGCGUAGAGAUCUGGAGGAAUACCGGUGGCGAAGGCGGCCCCCUGGACGAAGACUGACGCUCAGGUGCGAAAGCGUGGGGAGCAAACAGGAUUAGAUACCCCCGUAGUCCC